GGAUGACUUGUGGCUGGGGGUGAAAGGCCAAUCAAACCGGGAGAUAGCUGGUUCUCCCCGAAAGCUAUUUAGGUAGCGCCUCGUGAAUUCAUCUCCGGGGGUAGAGCACUGUUUCGGCAAGGGGGUCAUCCCGACUUACCAACCCGAUGCAAACUGCGAAUACCGGAGAAUGUUAUCACGGGAGACACACGGCGGGUGCUAACGUCCGUCGUGAAGAGGGAAACAACCCAGACCGCCAGCUAAGGUCCCAAAGUCAUGGUUAAGUGGGAAACGAUGUGGGAAGGCCCAGACAGCCAGGAUGUUGGCUUAGAAGCAGCCAUCAUUUAAAGAAAGCGUAAUAGCUCACUGGUCGAGUCGGCCUGCGCGGAAGAUGUAACGGGGCUAAACCAUGCACCGAAGCUGCGGCAGCGACGCUGAUGCGUUGUUGGGUAGGGGAGCGUUCUGUAAGCCUGUGAAGGUGUGCUGUGAGGCAUGCUGGAGGUAUCAGAAGUGCGAAUGCUGACAUAAGUAACGAUAAAGCGGGUGAAAAGCCCGCUCGCCGGAAGACCAAGGGUUCCUGUCCAACGUUAAUCGGGGCAGGGUGAGUCGACCCCUAAGGCGAGGCCGAAAGGCGUAGUCGAUGGGAAACAGGUUAAUAUUCCUGUACUUGGUGUUACUGCGAAGGGGGGACGGAGAAGGCUAUGUUGGCCGGGCGACGGUUGUCCCGGUUUAAGCGUGUAGGCUGGUUUUCCAGGCAAAUCCGGAAAAUCAAGGCUGAGGCGUGAUGACGAGGCACUACGGUGCUGAAGCAACAAAUGCCCUGCUUCCAGGAAAAGCCUCUAAGCAUCAGGUAACAUCAAAUCGUACCCCAAACCGACACAGGUGGUCAGGUAGAGAAUACCAAGGCGCUUGAGAGAACUCGGGUGAAGGAACUAGGCAAAAUGGUGCCGUAACUUCGGGAGAAGGCACGCUGAUAUGUAGGUGAAGUCCCUCGCGGAUGGAGCUGAAAUCAGUCGAAGAUACCAGCUGGCUGCAACUGUUUAUUAAAAACACAGCACUGUGCAAACACGAAAGUGGACGUAUACGGUGUGACGCCUGCCCGGUGCCGGAAGGUUAAUUGAUGGGGUCAGCGCAAGCGAAGCUCUUGAUCGAAGCCCCGGUAAACGGCGGCCGUAACUAUAACGGUCCUAAGGUAGCGAAAUUCCUUGUCGGGUAAGUUCCGACCUGCACGAAUGGCGUAAUGAUGGCCAGGCUGUCUCCACCCGAGACUCAGUGAAAUUGAACUCGCUGUGAAGAUGCAGUGUACCCGCGGCAAGACGGAAAGACCCCGUGAACCUUUACUAUAGCUUGACACUGAACAUUGAGCCUUGAUGUGUAGGAUAGGUGGGAGGCUUUGAAGUGUGG
rnacentral:rRNA from 1 species